GGUUGGAGGGAGGGAAGGAUGGGUUGUUUAGCUUCACAUUAAAUACUGCGUUUUAGGUUUAUGAAGUUCUACUGAAAUUGGAGGUCCUUAUUUCCCUCUUCACAAAGGUACAGGAUUAACUCAGAAUAUGUUUGUGCUGUGAUUCACUGCAGGAGGCCAUAUGCUGACAGUGCAGAGCUUCGCAUCCCCAAAGAUAAUAUUUGAAUUUUAAAAGAGUGUUUAAGUGGAGCACUUGACUUUCUUGUCUUUGUUUUGAGACCCUUUUUGUUUUUUUAUUAUUGUUCUUUAUUCCAGGCUUGUGAAUCUGUCCAAAUAUUUAUAAGCCCACACACAUUUUCUUGCAGCCACUGUCUCCUGUGGCGGCUCACUGGUGGGUAAAUGACUGUUCUUUUGUGCAGCAACACACAUUUACAAUGUUCUGUAGACCACUGGCACUUUCUCUAGCUACAUUAUGUGUCUCAGAUACGUAAGGAAUAAUUUACAGGUUUCAAAUUCUGAACCUGGUAGAGGGCCGACUCCCUCUGUAAAAUGAACAUUAACCAAGGAGGGAUUUUAGAAUAACGUCUUUGUUCAUUUGUUCAGUUAUUAAACAUUUACUCACUGUCUCCCUGGCACUCUGCUGGAGUUUUGUUCUCCAAAGGCUCACAGUUCCAUCAGGGAGGCAGGGCCUGCACCCCCACUUUACACGCACCAUCAUGUAUGUCCACCGUGUAAAGGAGUUAAUGAUUUCUUUGGAGUCUUUCCAGAACAAUAGAGAACAUCUAAGGAGUGUCCAAGAGAGGUCGUCUCAUGAAUGCUUUUUAAGACCACUGACUCCAGACACCUUGACAGCAAGACCCCUGGCUCCAGGGCAUAAGUGACUUAUGGAAGACACCUGAGCCCCCGUCCCUGUUUGGCCAGUUCCUGGAUGCCUGAGAGAUACGUGCACCAGAGCACCGCCCUCAAUAAAAACUCCAGACCCCAAGCAGAGACUCGUGCCCUUUUUCCUUUCCGAAUGUCCCACAGGCUCCGUCUGUAUCUGCUCUGUCUUCAGUAAACCCUGCUCUCACUU